UAAUACAUGCAAGUCGAACGCGUCUCCGUUAAUGAUUUUAGGUGCUUGCACUUGAAAGAUUUAACAUUGAGACGAGUGGCGAACUGGUGAGUAACACGUGGGUAACCUGCCCUUGAAGUAGGGGAUAACACUUGGAAACAGGUGCUAAUACCGUAUAACAACCAAAACCACCUGGUUUUGGUUUAAAAGACGGCUUCGGCUGUCACUUUAGGAUGGACCCGCGGCGUAUUAGCUUGUUGGUAAGGUAACGGCUUACCAAGGCGAUGAUACGUAGCCGACCUGAGAGGGUAAUCGGCCACAUUGGGACUGAGACACGGCCCAAACUCCUACGGGAGGCAGCAGUAGGGAAUCUUCCACAAUGGACGAAAGUCUGAUGGAGCAACGCCGCGUGAGUGAUGAAGGGUUUCGGCUCGUAAAACUCUGUUGUUGGAGAAGAACAGGUGUCAGAGUAACUGUUGACAUCUUGACGGUAUCCAACCAGAAAGCCACGGCUAACUACGUGCCAGCAGCCGCGGUAAUACGUAGGUGGCAAGCGUUGUCCGGAUUUAUUGGGCGUAAAGCGAGCGCAGGCGGUUUUUUAGGUCUGAUGUGAAAGCCUUCGGCUUAACCGGAGAAGUGCAUCGGAAACCGGGAGACUUGAGUGCAGAAGAGGACAGUGGAACUCCAUGUGUAGCGGUGAAAUGCGUAGAUAUAUGGAAGAACACCAGUGGCGAAGGCGGCUGUCUGGUCUGUAACUGACGCUGAGGCUCG
rnacentral:rRNA from 1 species